rnacentral:rRNA from 1 species
UUUGAUUCUGGCUCAGAAUCAACGCUGGCGGCGUGCCUAACACAUGCAAGUCGAACGAGAAAGUGGGGGCAACCCUGCGAGUACAGUGGCAGACGGGUGAGUAACACGUGAACAACCUACCCUUGAGUGGGGAAUAACACCGCGAAAGCGGUGCUAAUACCGCAUAAAAUCUUCGGGUCGCAUGACGUGGAGAUCAAAAGCGCAAGUUGCUUGAGGAGGGGUUCGCGGCUGAUUAGCUAGUUGGUGAGGUAACGGCCCACCAAGGCAACGAUCAGUAGCCGGCCUGAGAGGGCGAACGGCCACACUGGAACUGGGACACGGUCCAGACUCCUACGGGAGGCAGCAGUGGGGAAUUUUGCGCAAUGGGCGAAAGCCUGACGCAGCAACGCCGCGUGGAGGAUGAAGGCCUUCGGGUCGUAAACUCCUGUCGAUGGGGACGAAGUUCUCGCAAGAGGAUUGACUGUACCCGUUGAGGAAGCCACGGCUAACUCCGUGCCAGCAGCCGCGGUAAUACGGGGGUGGCAAGCGUUGUUCGGAAUUACUGGGCGUAAAGGGCGCGUAGGCGGCAUAACAAGUCAGAUGUGAAAGCCCCGAGCUCAACUCGGGAACUGCAUCUGAAACUGUAUUGCUUGAGUUCUGGAGGGGGUAGUGGAAUUCCCAGUGUAGCGGUGAAAUGCGUAGAUAUUGGGAGGAACACCUGCGGCGAAGGCGGCUACCUGGACAGUGACUGACGCUGAGGCGCGAAAGCUAGGGGAGCGAACGGGAUUAGAUACCCCGGUAGUCCUAGCCGUAAACGAUGGGCACUUGGUGUUGGGGGUAUUGAGUCCCUCGGUGCCGGAGCUAACGCGAUAAGUGCCCCGCCUGGGGAGUACGGUCGCAAGACUGAAACUCAAAGG